ACUCCAAACUCCCACGCAGUUUCAUUGUGGCCAAGCGAAACUUAGUUACUUGAACGGUUGAACUUACUUACUAUAUAUUAUGUGUAUAUUACAUUUAGUUUUAGACUGUAUACUGUAUGUUAUCUGAUUAAUGAUAUCCAUAAAAAAUCGUUCAUUAGAUAAUCCAGGUAAUUUAACGACGGUAAAAAAAUCAAAAAACGAGGUGCCGUGACCAGGAUUCGAACCUGGGUUAUUGCGGCCACAACGCAAUGUACUAACCACUAUACGAUCACGGCUCUUGAUAUCUGUCGUAGAAAUAAAUAUAUAAAACUGUGUUUAUUAACCAAAAAUAACUUCUUUCAAAAUGUGAAGAAAUUGCUAUAUGGUAAUGAUGAAGUUCUUCGACUGACUGAACACUCUGAUCAGUCACGUACAACUUUACAAAAUGUUGAAGACGGGAAAUGGAGGAUAAGAGAAAUCCAAAUGGAACAAAAUUGCUGUCUGUUGUGGACCGAUUAUCUUGUCACAGUCAUAUUGAAUCUUCGAAAACUGAUAUUCCACAAACUGCCAGCACUUUGUACUGUAGCUCAAGAAAUGAA